rnacentral:rRNA from 1 species
GCACGGAGUUAGCCGGUGCUUAUUCAUCUGGUACCGUCAACUAUCCAAGAAAAGAUAGAUUUCUUCCCAAAUAAAAGAAGUUUACAAUCCAGAGGACCUUCAUCCUCCACGCGGCAUGGCUGGUUCAGACUUGCGUCCAUUGACCAAUAUUCCUUACUGCUGCCUCCCGUAGGAGUCGGGCCCGUGUCUCAGUGCCCGUGUGACUGGUCGUGCUCUCACACCAGUUACUGAUCGUCGACUUGGUGGGCCGUUACCCCGCCAACUAUCUAAUCAGCCGCACACCCAUCUUCAAGCGCAUUGCUGCUAUAAUAUAAAAGUGAUGCCACUUCUAUAUGUUACGGGGUAUUAAUCCGGGUUUCCCCGGGCUAUUCCCCACUUAAAGGAAGGUUGUGUACGUGUUCCGCACCCGUUUGCCGGUCGCCAGCAUUCCGAUUGCUCGGAACCUGCUGCCCCACGACUUGCAUGUAUUAAGCCUGCCGCUAGCGUUCAUC